rnacentral:misc_RNA from 1 species
GUCUGAUGUUAAUGGUGGUACUUCAAGUAAUUUGCCUUUGCUAGGCAAAAAGAACACUGUAGUUGAUUAUCCUAAAAUUGUAAAACAAGAAGCUCAGGGCAAUUAUGUUCUAAAUGAAGAGAACAGAAGAAAAAUUGCUGGCUCGACCAUAGCAUUCACAUGUAUUGGAGCAUUUCUUCUUACAUAUGCAGCUACAGAUUUGAAUAUUCCUAGGCCUGUUCGCUUUACAUUGUGCGGUGUUGGUGGUGCUCUUCUUUUAUUUGGUCUGAUUGUGCUGACUCUUAUUGAACAAGAUGAUGCAAGACAUAGCUUUGGGCAUUCUGGAGGCUUUAUAUGUCCAUUUGUUCCACUGCUUCCGAUCUUCUGCAUUCUGAUCAACAUAUACCUGCUGAUUAAUCUAGGUGCCGCCACCUGGGCCCGUGUUUCAGUC